AGGUGACACAGCCCCUGUGAGCACGUCAUACUCCCUUAUACAUUAUCAUCAGAUGGGAUUUGUGACCCAGACCUGACCACCCUAACCAUAGUGUCCGGGGACAGACAGAGUGGCCAGUUUGUUUAGUUUGAGAGAGUUGGGGAAUCUGUGAAGGAUUUAUCCUUUAUGAAUAUGGCCUUGUCACCUACAAAGUUCACACUUGAGGAUGGUGCCACCAAGUGAGCGAAACAUUGAAAACAUUUUAAGUGGGUUUAUUCUUUUGUGAUAGGCCACAUUUGUAGCGAUACUGGCCACAGGUUCGACACACCUGAUGGAGUUUUUACUAAUAGGUAACUAACCCCAGACGAGCCCACCUGAAUGUUCUCUGUGCUCCCUCUAGUUGCUUAGCCUUUGCUAUAAAAUCUAUAUGUGCCUUGCCAGAGCCCCCCACAUUCCUCUUCUGCUCAAUGACAGAGCCCAUGCUUCUCCUGAGGUCAAGACAGAGUCCUUAAGCCAACAGAAAGCUCAUAGCAAUAUGUAAUUGUAUCCACAUAGUAGUACAAACCCCCAAAGAGACAAGAUCAGUUUGUCUGAGGACGGGUGGAAGCUAUGUCUUGCCCCAUAGCAGCAUCCCCGCUGCUCCGAGGACCUCCAGCACCUUUCUGGCCGUUAGACCAAGCAUUCCCGUGCCUCCCCCUCUGGGUGUUCCAUCAGGAUACGCACACAGCUGUUCAAGCCUCUGCUCGUGCUCAGGCCUGAUUCUGGAGUUUCAUUCCUUACCAUCUGACCCAGGUGAGCUCCCCACUCUCAAUGGCCCGGAUAUGGCAUUCACCUGCUUGGCCUGGUGUGGGUAUGAGUUUAACCACCUGGGCUGAGUUUGCUAUCUACGGCUACUUCACCUUUGUCUGGUUCCGAUUCCUCCCCUCGCCCCUCUGCCCACGCACAGCACCACCCAAGCAGACAUCCCGUGAUAUCAGCUUCACUAAACAACUAAAGGUAAUUUGAGGACUUCAUUUUUUUAAAAAGGAAUUGUUAAAUAUUAGUUCAGUAUUGACUAGUUGCAAACCCCCAGCUGUCUUGAUUCUAAAUAGUGCCUUUGCCUACCUUAGUGGUGUCUCAGGGUGAUAACACUACAGGUCAUGUCCAGUAGCCUGAACCCCAGUCUCUGGUGAGCAGAAAAAAGACCUCCCAGAAGGCAAAAGCAUUUGGACAGACAGAGGAGAAGACGCCUGAGUGAGGCCGAGUACCCAGCAGCUAGGUCUGCGCUGCUAAAACCUCCCUCCAGGAAACUGCUAAAACCUCCCUCCAGGACACUGCUAAAACCUCCUCCAGGACAAUGCUAAAACCUCCUCCAGGAAACUGCUAAAACCUCCUCCAGGAAACUGCUAAAACCUCCUCCAGGACACUGCUAAAACCUCCUCCAGGACACUGCUAAAACCUCCUCCAGGAAACUGCUAAAACCUCCUCCAGGAAACUGCUAAAACCUCCUCCAGGACACUGGCCCCAUAUCCUUCCCUGCCUGGCUUCUUUUCCACUGCAGGUUCUUGUCAUCUUCAGUGAGCUUGGCAAACAGCACAGCUGUCUGUGUGUGAAUGCUCCCACAGGCUCAUAACUCAACACUCAGUCCCAGCGGGUGGUGCUAUUAGGAGACUGGUAAAUCUUUUGGAUGUGGGGCUUAUCUGGCAGACGCUGGAACUUGGGGGACCAGGCCUCAACAGGUCACCACCAGCUCCCACCUCCAUUCCUUGCCUCUAGUGAUGGACAGUAGCUCUUAAGUGGUGACUCCAAGUAAAUCUUCCCUCUCUA